rnacentral:rRNA from 1 species
GACGAACGCUGGCGGCGUGCUUAACACAUGCAAGUCGAACGGAAAGGCCCUGCUUUUGUGGGGUGCUCGAGUGGCGAACGGGUGAGUAACACGUGAGUAACCUGCCCUUGACUUUGGGAUAACUUCCGGAAACUGGGGCUAAUACCGGAUAGGAGCUCCUGCUGCAUGGUGGGGGUUGGAAAGUUUCGGCGGUUGGGGAUGGACUCGCGGCUUAUCAGCUUGUUGGUGGGGUAGUGGCUUACCAAGGCUUUGACGGGUAGCCGGCCUGAGAGGGGGACCGGCGACAUUGGGACUGAGAUACGGCCCAGACUCCUACGGGAGGCAGCAGUGGGGAAUAUUGCACAAUGGGCGGAAGCCUGAUGCAGCAACGCCGCGUGCGGGAUGACGGCCUUCGGGUUGUAAACCGCUUUCGCCUGUGACGAAGCGUGAGUGACGGUAAUGGGUAAAGAAGCACCGGCUAACUACGUG